rnacentral:tRNA from 1 species
AAGGGAGACCUAAUUCGGGUAGGAGACGAAAAAAAAGUAGUCGCUACCAAGAAUCAAUCCCAAAAGGUCGGAGCGAGGCGAAAUUGGCUUUCAAACUAGGUUCUGGGUUCACACAAGACCUGAAUCAGGAACAAGGGCUAUUAGCUCAGGUGGUUAGAGCGCACCCCUGAUAAGGGUGAGGUCCCUGGUUCGAGUCCAGGAUGGCCCACCUGUACAGGUGGCCAAAACCAAGAAAAGAAGCGAGGAAUCAGCACCUGCUCUUACCUACAUAGUAAGAGAGAAUGCUGGCUCUGAGUACAGAGUCCAGAGGAACCUUGAAAACUGCAUAGAGCUAGGUGAAAAAGCCAAAAAAGAAGACCGCCUCAA